rnacentral:lncRNA from 10 species
CCUGGAAGCAGCCUCCGGGAUCUGCAAGUCUGGAAAGGCCACGUUGUGGACCUUGGCGCAGAGGUUAUGGGGGCGACCCGGAGCGGAUGGUUUCAGGAAAACUAGAACCCACCCUCAUGGCCUGAACAACUGGAGAGAAGAGGAUCGCAGCAAUUUAAAGCCAGCGGCAAGGAUCACAGUCCUGGGGUCAGGUGACCAAAGCCAGUUUUUCAGCCCUUAACAAGAACCUGGCUUCACCCAGCCAAACAUGAGUUAACGUAUCCAUUUUACACACGAACAAACUGAGGCGCAGAGAUGAUCACAGCUUGUUGGUGGCAAACUCCGCUAGGGCCUUCUCUGCUACCCUAAGGAGGUCCGACCGUAUGUUUUGGACCCCUUAACUCGGGAUACCGAUAAACGAAAAUUAAUAGGGUGUUGGAUGUUUUAAAUGUGUGCGGGAAUGUCAUUAUAUUGGCUAGAAUCAAACCUUAUUUAGACUUGUUUUGCACUUUUGUACACUUUAGUAAUUUUUAGUUUUAAUCAUAAGGGAGUUAAAGGCGAACACAACUGGUAUUUUUUUUUUUUUUUUUUUUUUUUUGAGACAGGGUCUCGCUCGGUCACCCAGGCUGGAGUGUAAUGCUGCGAUCUCGGCUCACUGCAACGUCCGCCUCCCGGGUUCAAGAGAUUCUCCUGCCUCAGCCUCCCGAAUAGCUGGGCGUGCCACCACGCCCGGCUGAUUUUUGUAUUUUUAGUAGAGACGGGGUUUCACCAUGUUGGCCAGGUUGGUCUCGAACUCCUGACCUCAAAUGAUCCGCCCGCCUUGGCCUCCCAGAAUGCUGGGAUUACAGGCGUGAGCCACCGCGCCAGGCCGACAACUGGUAUCUUAAGGCUUAGGGCCUCUGGUAGAAGUGAGCUCCACCUCCCUUCCUGUGUAGAAGCUCCCCUCAAUGGGAAGUAGAAUCUCUUUCUCCACCUCUUCAAUAUGGCUGGCCCUGGAACUUCCCUUGGCACACAGAAUGCAGCAGAAUUGGCUUCAUGUUGUUUCUAAGCCUUGGCCUCAGAGGCCUUGCAUGCUUCCUAACCCUGGCUCUAGGAAACUUGCUGCUGUCAUGUAAGCAAGCCCAGGCUAACCUACUGAAUGUUGGUGUGUCCCAGUCAAAUCCAGCACUGCAACCAAUAGCCAGGCAGCCACCAGACAUGUGAGUGGGGCCACCUCACACCAGCCAACCUCCACCAAGUCAUCAGAUGUAUGAGUGAGAACAGCCCAGAACAACUGAGCCCGUCCAGACCAGCGGAACAACCAAGCUGACCAGUAGACUUAGGAGCAGUAAACAGAUGAUUGUUAUGGAAGCCAUUCUGUUUAGGGUGUGUGUGUUAUUGCUUGCAUCCAAAUACAUCCUAUCUCAUCUAAUGAGAAAAGGCCCUGCUCAAGGGCUUUUGCAGCUGUAGUUGGGCGCCGGAAGUGUCUUUGUGGUCAUUUCUUACUCCAUACACGGGGAGAUCAAGGCUCAGACCAGGUAGUGUGACUGUGGACAACACUUUCCUUACCCCUCUGUGACACUUAAAUCAAUGAAGCAGAUUCACAGAAGCAUGCAUGCUCACUGAACACAGUAUUUGCAUUCCUACCUCCAAACCUUUGCUCCACCCAUGCAUCCAGUAAGAAUGCCUACUUCCCUCCUCUCCUCCAUCGAGUUCUUUCUUUGAGUUCUACCUUCCCUAGUCUUCCUCCACUGCACCAACCCACGGUGAUCCCUGUCUCUUCCAAAUGCUUUGUAACAUGGUAGGCAUCACUCACUUGUGACUCAUUGGACCAUUUUAAAACUUGGUUUUCUGUGUCUCUUUUCCAACAAAAUUACAAAUUCUUUGAGGGUAAAAGUCAGGCCUAAUAGUUCUCUGUACUCCUAGUAGUGCCAGUGUGGUAAAAAUUUAACUUGACAAUUAGCAAAACCAAUAAAUUCCUUACACUAUUCUGUUCCUGUAGGUAAUCAGUAUAUGAAUAUGGAUUCCUAUGUGAUGAUUUUCUGGUCUAUUUUGUCCCUUUUUUUUUUUUGUUACUUUAACCAGGCCAUAACAUAAAGGUUAUGCCAUUUGUUACUGUCAAGCUUAAUUAAGCCCAUUAUAAUUCGUUAACCCCUGUGCUUGCUUUGUAAUUAACAUUGAUUAACACAAACAAGUACAAAAUAGGCCAUCAGCACUUUCCAGAAGUGCUGAUUACAAUUACAUUGGUAAUUCAAUACGGUAUAGAAGAUGGCAGGAUAGUAACUUGCACUCUGUUUACAUAAGGAGACAAAUGCUACCAUGCAAAACUAAGCCAAGAAACAAAAUACUUUCCUCAUCCAACUCACUGAUUAAACCCUUACCCUGUUAACUCACCCUAUGACUGUGUAAACCUCCAGUAAGAUUAUUGAAGGCACAGCUCCAAGUAACUUGCUUAAUUGCAUUCCUGGGACAAAAGAGGGAAGCGCUUCAAAGCUGACAGACAGAUGGUAGAGUGUCCAGUCACAGCAAAGCAGGCCCCGAGGCUCAUGACAGACAACUCCAGGGCUGAGAUCUCAUUUGUAGCUCUGGGAUAAAGUCCAGGGUUUGAUGGCAGCAGGCUGAAGUGUAAAGAUGCUCAACAAUGCGCACCCCAGAGACACUGAAUCUGAAAAAGCUUAGAGUGAAUAAAAAUCUGGAAAUGAACUCUGUCUGUCUAUUCACCAUUCCCCCCAUAAAAAAAUUCCUAUAUUCCGGAUGGUGUUCAAGUUCCCUUUCCACAGGACCUCAGCAGUCAGGGAGGUGCUCCUGCAAUCUAUGUGAAGGAGAUUUCACCAUGCCCACAUGGGAAUACAGUAGAUUGCCAGUAGGGAUGCCACACCUUUGCAUUUCCUCGUAUUUCCAGGAACAAAGCUGGGGUGCCUAGGAGCUGCAGCAGUUUUUCUUCUGUGUAAAAUAAGCAAGCAGGACUCUGCCCCACUGCACUCCAGGGAAGGAUUAAGAGAAUUGAUAUCAUCCAAAUCAAUUGGCCCUGUGCAGAUGACUUGAUAAUGAGGCCAUUGAGUUUUUAUGGUUCACUAUUAUUGCUACAAAAAUUAUGCUGCAGAAAUCAUUCAAAUGCUCAAAAAGGAGCAUUAGUACGAAACUGGGUGUUCCAAAGUUGUUGCUGAGAGGUGUGUAAUGUUCCUGAAGAUCCCCAAGGCACUAAGACUUCUCUGUACAUGAAUGACUCAUAGAGAAGAAAUACACCAGAUGAAAAUAUAUGGAGAAGUUUGCCGAAUGUCAUAUAACUU